GUGAUCACGGACAACUAAGGAAAGUGCAAGUAGAAAAAGGUAAAAAUCCUUGGUUUAUAGUAAGAGUUAAGUAGACAAGCAAUGCACAGGAGGAAGAGAAGAAAUGGCAUAAGGGAGAAAGUUAAAAGAAAUUGCUAGCGGCAACUGGGCAAGGAUGAAACAGUGCCAGGUAUCCAAGAGAGCUCUAUCAGGCCUCUUUACAAACAGCUGGUAUUCAGUGAUAUGCUUCUCAUGGAAGGACAUGGCAGUUCUAUUAAGCUAGCAUGACUGAUAAGAAGGUCUUCUAUGAGCAGAGAUGUAAUGGAGCAUGAUGGAGCUUUGGAUGGGUGAAGCUAAGAAACUAUAUGAUACUCACUCAGUGGGAAACCCAAAGCAAGAUCUCUUCAGAUGAUCUUAAGACUCUAGAGACUCAAGCGAAAGGACUGAAAUUCUAUUUUGAGCGUGUGCACAAACUGGCAAAACAGAGACAAAACAGGAACAGUGAUUUACCACAGACAGCAGCAGCCAAUGUCAGAGUGGAGUGGAAAUAUGUACAACGUGGUGUUACAACACUCAUAAGCAUACCUAAAUGUCACAGGCACAAGGGGUUCAAAUCCCAGCAUCUCCAGGAGGGAAGAAUUUAUCAUGGAGAAGUGGCUAUGAAGUGUGUGAGCCCAGAAGCUUUCCCCAUCCACUGAUUUCCUACUCCAAAUGGACUUCCAGCAGCUUUAUCUUCCCCUCCCUGUGAAAUUUUCAAAACAGUAGGUUUGCCCCAAAUAUGAUGAGAUGAUUUCAUGGGGGUAAAGGCACUCAUGGACAAUUUGAAGCAGAGAAACAAUGGGCACA